rnacentral:rRNA from 1 species
CCUACGUGUGGCAGCAGUGGGGAAUAUUGCACAAUGGGGGAAACCCUGAUGCAGCGACGCCGCGUGAGUGAAGAAGUAUUUCGGUAUGUAAAGCUCUAUCAGCAGGGAAGAAAAUGACGGUACCUGAUUAAGCAGCCCCGGCUAACUACGUGCCAGCAGCCGCGGUAAUACGUAGGGGGCAAGCGUUAUCCGGAUUUACUGGGUGUAAAGGGAGCGUAGACGGCAGCGCAAGUCUGAAGUGAAAUGCCGGGGCUUAACCCCGGAACUGCUUUGGAAAAUGUGCAGCUAGAGUGCAGGAGAGGUAAGUGGAAUUCAUAGUGUAGCGGUGAAAUGCGUAGAUAUCACGAAGAACUCCGAGUGCGAAGGCAGUUCACUGGACUGCAACUGACACUGAGGCUCGAAAGUGUGGGUAUCAAACAGGAUUAGAUACCCGAGUAGUC